GACGGGGGGGGCAAGUGUUCUUCGGAAUGACUGGGCGUAAAGGGCACGUAGGCGGUGAAUCGGGUUGAAAGUGAAAGUCGCCAAAAAAGUGGCGGAAUGCUCUCGAAACCAAUUCACUUGAGUGAGACAGAGGAGAGUGGAAUUUCGUGUGUAGGGGGUGAAAUCCGUUAGAUCUACGAAGGAACGCCAAAAAGCGAAGGCAGCUCUCUGGGUCC
rnacentral:rRNA from 1 species